rnacentral:lncRNA from 1 species
GUUGAGAAGAGCCCCUUUAUUUUAUAACUGUCUUCAUUUGUAAAUUUUCUUCCAUAUAAAUUUUUAAGUUUUAUAAAUAAAAUUUAUUAGAUAAAAAAUACUAACUUUAGACAAGUUUUAGAGAAUCAAAAUUUUAAUUAUAUACUUUUUAUAUUUUACAAGAAUAAUUUAAGCAGAAAACUAUCAUAACUUUUAAAAAUAUUUAUAAAAAAAUUAAUUUAGAGAUAAUUAUUUGUAUGUCUCUCUAAAGUUUUAAUUAUUUUACUUGGCUCCCCAAACUCUUGAAAUUUAUAAAUUUGUCAUUCUUUAUUAGUUGACAUAUUAAUAUUAAUUUUUUCAGUACAUAUGAAUCUCUCUUCAGUCUCUUCUUUUUUGUUUUUGGAUUAGUAAUGAUAAAUUUUUUUAUGCAUAUUUUGUAUUUAAAUUUUUUUAAAAAAUUUCUAUCCGCCGCAUCGCACGGGAGUCUACACUAGUAUAAUUUGAAAGUUGGGUCACAUCAAAAGUCAUGAGAGUGACAUGUGUCCUUUUCUAUUAGAUAUCUAUUAGAUAUCUAUCUGUAAACAAAUAUAUAAUUUGAGAGUUGGGUUACGUCAAAAGUUAUGGGAGUGACAUGUGUCCUUCUCUAUUAGAUAUCUAUAGAUAUAUAAUGAACUAGGCUACUAUACUAUCGGUAGCACGGAGCGCUCCGUGCUAUCAAGUUGUUUUCGAUGAUGCAGUUUCUAAAUCGACGAUCAGCUCCGUUAGGCUUGAUCUACACUAUUGAAAGUAUUUAGAAACUAAAUUUCAUAAUUUUUCGAUAUUAUUUAUCUAUCAAACAAAUAGUCUAAAAUUAUACGGCUGAAAAUAAAAAUCUCAUGAAAAAUGAUGAUAAAAGAUUUAAAUUCAAGAUAAGAUAUACUGAUCUUACUCUAAAUAAUGAAAAGAAUUUUCUAUAAAAUUUUCAUCGCAUUUGGAUUGUUUUACACCGUUAAACUCACAAACACACCACAUCAACCAUCAAAAUUAUCAAUUUUGAGAUCUUUUGAUCACUAGUCAAAUGAUGUCGAAAAAAUCUGAAAUUUAGUUUCCAAAUACUUUCAAUAGUGUAGAUCAAGUCUAACGGAGCAGAUUGUCGAUUUAGAAGCCGCAUUAUCAAAACAACUUGGUAGCACGGAGCGCUCCGUGCUACCGGUAGCAUAGUAGCCGGACUCGAUAUAUAAUUUGAUAUUUAUUAGAUAUAUAGUUUGACAUAUAUCUAUUAGAUAUAUGACAGUUGGGUCACAUCAAAAUGCGUUACACGAUAUAUAAUUUGAUAUCUAUUAGAUAUAUAGUUUGACAUAUAUCUAUUAGAUAUAUGACAGUUGGGUCACAUCAAAAUGCGUUACAUAUAUAAUUUGAGAGGUGAGUCGUAUCAAAAGCCAUGAGAGUGAUAUGUGUUCAUACGCUACCCACUUCAUUUAUUUCAUUUAGAAAUAAACUUGGUUAGAAAUGUGAAUCAACUAGGAUUCGAAGUCGGGUCUCGGGUAUCAACCACCAAACCCUUUGUCACUUGCUCUAGGGACGGGCGGUACAAUCUAUUACUGUAUUAAAUAUAUAAUUUGAGAGUUGAGUCACAUCAAAAAUCAUGCGAGUGACAUGUGUCCUCCUCUCUUUGCCUCUACACUUCAACAAUAUAUAUUGCAUGCACUCGGUCUACGAAAAUAUCAUAUACACCAAAUCUAUUUUUUAAUUAUUAAUAUUUUAAAAUCUAUAAGAUAUUUAAUUUGAUAGCUAUUAGAUAUAUAAUUUGACAUAUAUCUAUUAAAUAUAUAAUUUGAGAGUUUGGUCACAUCAAAAGCCAUGAGAGUGACAUAUGUCAUCCUCUCUUUGCCUUCUUCACUUUAACAAUAAAUAUUGAAUGCACAUGGUCUAUGAAAUUAUCAUACACACCAAAUCUAUUUUUUAAUAUAAUUUGAGAGUUGAUUCACAUUAAAAACCAUGCGAGUGACAUGUGUCCUUCUCUCUUUGCCUCUUCACUUCAACAAUAUAUAUUGCAUGUACUUGGUUUACGAAAAUAUCAUAUACACAAAAUCUAUUUUUUAAUUAUUAAUAUUUUAAAAUCUAUAAGAUAUAUAAUUUGAUAUCUAUUAUCUAUUAAAUAUAUAAUUUGAGAGUUGGGUCACAUCAAAAGUCAUGAGAGUGACAUGUGUCCUCCUCUCUUUGCCUUCUUCACUUUAACAAUAUAUAUUGCGUGCACCCGGUCUAUGAAAAUAUACACCAAAUCUAUUUUUUAAUUAUUAAAUUUUAAAAUCUGUAAGAUAUAUAAUCUAUCUAUUAGAUAUCUUCUAUAGAUAGAUAUAUAAUUUGAGAGUCGGGUCACAUCAAAAGUGAUGAUAGUGACAUGUGUCCUCCUUUCUUUGCCUUCUUCACUUUAACAAUAUAUAUUGCAUGCACCCGAUCUAUGAAAAUAUUAUAUACACCAAAUCUCUUUUUUAAUUAUUAAAUUUUAAAAUCUAUAAUAUAUAUAAUCUAUCUAUUAGAUAUAUAAUAUAUAUAAUCGAGUUGGACUGGGCUACUAUUAGUAGCAAAAUCUCAUUGUUGCUACCAAUUUUUUAGCCUUUGGAUCAACUCUUUUCAUUAUUUCUAACCAUUAGAUUAAUUACUAUAACCCAGUGGGGACCACUCAACCCUAGGGGGACCACUCAACUCUAACUAACUAAUAUCAUCCUGACCCUACAAUUUUUCAUCCAAGGGUUAAAAAUUUGAUAGCAAAAAGAGCGUUUUACUAUUAAUAGUAUUCCAAGGUAAUUCUAUAUAAUCUAUCUAUUAGAUAUAUAAUUUGAGAGUUGGGUCACAUCGAAAACCAUGGGAGUAGGAGUGACAUGUGUCCUCCUAUUUUUACCUUCUCCAUUUCAACAAUGUAUAUUACAUGCAUCCGAUCUACAAAAAUAUCAUAUACAUCAUGUCUAUUUUUUAAUUAUUAAUAUUUUAAAAUCUAUAAGAUAUAUAAUUUAACAAUUUGGCAAUUCUAUCACUUCACAAAAAUCGUUAAUGCUAAUUAUCAUAUAUUUUAUCAAUUGUCUAAUAUAUUUUUGCUGUAUAUAAAAUAUUGGUAUAUACGAGAUGCAAG